rnacentral:rRNA from 1 species
UACGGAGGGUGCGAGCGUUGUCCGGAAUCAUUGGGCGUAAAGGGCGCGUAGGUGGCCCGGUCAGUUCGUGGUGAAAGCGCGGGGCUCAACCCUGCGUCGGCCAUGAAUACUGCCGCGGCUGGAGCACUGUAGAGGCAGGCGGAAUUCCGGGUGUAGCGGUGGAAUGCGUAGAGAUCCGGAAGAACACCGAUAGCGAAGGCAGCUUACUGGGCUGUAACUGACGCUGAUGCACGAAAGUGUGGGGAUCAAACAGG